rnacentral:rRNA from 1 species
AUGAACGCUAGCGGCAGGCCUAAUACAUGCAAGUCGAGGGGUAAAUAUGUAGCAAUAUAUAUGAGACCGGCGCACGGGUGCGUAACACGUAUGCAACCUACCUUUUACUGGGGAAUAGCUCCGAGAAAUCGGAAUUAAUACCCCAUAACACUGCAGAAUGGCAUCAUUCAGCAGUUAAAGCUCCGGCGGUAAAAGAUGGGCAUGCGGAACAUUAGCUAGUUGGUGAGGUAAUGGCUCACCAAGGCUACGAUGUUUAGGGGGUCUGAGAGGAUGAUCCCCCACACUGGUACUGAGACACGGACCAGACUCCUACGGGAGGCAGCAGUAGGGAAUAUUGGGCAAUGGACGAAAGUCUGACCCAGCCAUGCCGCGUGCAGGAUGACUGUCCUAUGGAUUGUAAACUGCUUUUAUAUGGGAAGAAACCCCUGGAUGCGUCCGGGGCUGACGGUACCAUAUGAAUAAGGAUCGGCUAACUUCGU